rnacentral:rRNA from 1 species
GAUGAACGCUGGCGGCGUGCCUAAUACAUGCAAGUCGAGCGAACAGACGAGGAGCUUGCUCCUCUGACGUUAGCGGCGGACGGGUGAGUAACACGUGGAUAACCUACCUAUAAGACUGGGAUAACUUCGGGAAACCGGAGCUAAUACCGGAUAAUAUAUUGAACCGCAUGGUUCAAUAGUGAAAGACGGUUUUGCUGUCACUUAUAGAUGGAUCCGCGCCGCAUUAGCUAGUUGGUAAGGUAACGGCUUACCAAGGCAACGAUGCGUAGCCGACCUGAGAGGGUGAUCGGCCACACUGGAACUGAGACACGGUCCAGACUCCUACGGGAGGCAGCAGUAGGGAAUCUUCCGCAAUGGGCGAAAGCCUGACGGAGCAACGCCGCGUGAGUGAUGAAGGUCUUCGGAUCGUAAAACUCUGUUAUUAGGGAAGAACAAAUGUGUAAGUAACUAUGCACGCCUUGACGGUACCUAAUCUGAAAGCCACGGCUAACUACGUG